UACAGUUUGAUCCUGGCUCAGAUUGAACGCUGGCGGCAGGCCUAACACAUGCAAGUCGAACGGUAACAGGAAGCAGCUNNNNGCUUCGCUGACGAGUGGCGGACGGGUGAGUAAUGUCUGGGAAACUGCCUGAUGGAGGGGGAUAACUACUGGAAACGGUAGCUAAUACCGCAUAACGUCGCAAGACCAAAGAGGGGGACCUUCGGGCCUCUUGCCAUCGGAUGUGCCCAGAUGGGAUUAGCUAGUAGGUGGGGUAACGGCUCACCUAGGCGACGAUCCCUAGCUGGUCUGAGAGGAUGACCAGCCACACUGGAACUGAGACACGGUCCAGACUCCUACGGGAGGCAGCAGUGGGGAAUAUUGCACAAUGGGCGCAAGCCUGAUGCAGCCAUGCCGCGUGUAUGAAGAAGGCCUUCGGGUUGUAAAGUACUUUCAGCGGGGAGGAAGGCGAUAAGGUUAAUAACCUUGUCGAUUGACGUUACCCGCAGAAGAAGCACCGGCUAACUCCGUGCCAGCAGCCGCGGUAAUACGGAGGGUGCAAGCGUUAAUCGGAAUUACUGGGCGUAAAGCGCACGCAGGCGGUCUGUCAAGUCGGAUGUGAAAUCCCCGGGCUCAACCUGGGAACUGCAUUCGAAACUGGCAGGCUAGAGUCUUGUAGAGGGGGGUAGAAUUCCAGGUGUAGCGGUGAAAUGCGUAGAGAUCUGGAGGAAUACCGGUGGCGAAGGCGGCCCCCUGGACAAAGACUGACGCU
rnacentral:rRNA from 1 species